AUCCUUCUUGUUCAAGAAGUGUGAUGAUUGGUGCGUUCACGGACUCUCCGUGAAAGGUGCGGCCUCAUUGUUACGCAAGCGCCUCAGCCCGUCUGACC